GCCUGGGUAGCUCAGUCAGUGGAGCGUCCAACUUCGGCUCAGGUCGUGAUCUUGAGAUUCGUGGGUUCGAGCCCCACAUCGGGCU
rnacentral:tRNA from 1 species